UACUUUUUGUAGAACGGUCCGGCGAGUUACGUGUAUGAUGCGAGGUUAAAUACUGUGUAAGGUAUGAAGCCGAAGGGAAACCGAGUGUGAAUAGCGCGAAGAUAUAGUAUCAUGCAGUAGACCCGAAACCGGGUGACCUAUCCAUGGUCAGGUUGAAGCUUGAGUAAAAUCAAGUGGAGGACCGAACCGGUAUUCGUUGAAAAGGAUUCGGAUGACUUGUGGAUAGCGGAGAAAUUCCAAUCGAACUCGGAGAUAGCUGGUUCUCCUCGAAAUAGCUUUAGGGCUAGCCUUGUUUAGUAGCAUGUGGAGGUAAAGCACUGAAUAUGUGAGGGUUCUUACCAGAAUACCGAUCAUUAUCAAACUCUGAAUGCCAUGUGUGUAAGAACAGGAGUCAGACAGUGACAGCUAAGUGCCAUUGUCAAAAGGGAAAGAGCCCAGACCAACAGCUAAGGUCCCAAAAUUGUAGUUAAGUGGAAAAGGAUGUGGGAAUUCAUAGACAACCAGGAUGUUGGCUCAGAAGCAGCCAUUCAUUUAAAGAGUGCGUAAAAGCUCACUGGUCGAAGUAGGCCUGCGCCGAAAAUUACCGGGGCUAAACUACAUACCGAAGCUUUGGAUUUGGUACGUAAAGUAUUAAGUGGUAGAGGAGCGUUGUAUAAAGAUUGAAGCUAUACUGAAAAGAGUAGUGGACGAUAUACAAGAGAGAAUGCCGGAAUAAGUAGCGAGAGCACAGUGAGAAUCUGUGCCGCCGAAAACCUAAGGUUUCCUGGGGAAGGUUCGUCCGCCCAGGGUAAGUCGGGACCUAAGACGAGGCUAAAGCAGCGUAGUCGAUGGAAAGCAGGUAAAAGAUUCCUGCACUACCGAAAUGCGAUAUACAAUAUAUCAUGACGCAUCAGAAGAGUCUAAGCGAGCAAAUGGAAAAGUUCGUACCGCAAGGUGGAGUGAAAAAUAGUAACGAAGUAGAUAAAUCAGGUGACAAGAAAAGUGAUAUAGGAGCAUAGAGGUACUCGUACCGUAAACCGACACAGGUAGGAAGAAAGAGAAUUUUCAGGCGAACGAGAGAAUCAUUGUUAAGGAACUCGGCAAAUUAACCCCGUAACUUAGGGAUAAGGGGAGCCAAUAGCGAUAUUGGUCGCAGAGAAAUGGUCCAAGCAACUGUUUAGCAAAAACACAGGUUUCUGCCAAAUCGAAAGAUGAAGUAUAGGAGCUGACGCCUGCCCAGUGCUGGAAGGUCAAGGGGAAGAGUAAACGUUUCGAUGUGAAGCUCUGAACUUAAGCCCCAGUGAACGGCGGCCGUAACUAUAACGGUCCUAAGGUAGCGAAAUUCCUUGUCAGGUAAGUUCUGACCCGCACGAAAGGCGUAAUGAUUUGGGCACUGUCUCGACAAUGAACUCGGCGAAAUUGUAGUACUAGUGAAGAUGCUAGUUACCUGUGAUAAGACAGAAAGACCCCAUGGAGCUUUACUGUAGCUUGAUAUUGAGACUAGGUAAGAGAUGUACAGAAUAGAUGGGAGACUAUGAGAUAAGGACGCCAGUUCUUAAGGAGUCACCUUUGGGAUACCAUCCUUCUUUUACUUGGAAUCUAACUAGUUGCCAUGAACUGGUAAUAGGACAGUGUCAGGUGGGCAGUUUGACUGGGGCGGUCGCCUCCUAAAGAGUAACGGAGGCGUUCAAAGGUCAGCUUAACACGGUCAGAAAUCGUGUGAUGACGUGCAAAGGCGUAAGCUGGCUUGACUGCAAGACUGACAGGUCGAGCAGACGCGAAAGCGGGACUUAGUGACCCGAUGGUUGUGAGUGGAAAUGCCAGAGCUCAACGGAUAAAAGUUACCCUGGGGAUAACA
rnacentral:rRNA from 1 species